rnacentral:rRNA from 1 species
UACGUAGGUGGCGAGCGUUGUCCGGAUUUAUUGGGCGUAAAGCGCUCGCAGGUGGUCCGCUGCGUCGUGCGUGAAAGACCCCGGCUCAACUGGGGGAUGUCGUGCGAUACGGGCGGACUGGAGGCCAGUAGGGGGAUGCGGAAUUCCGGGUGUAGUGGUGGAAUGCGUAGAGAUCCGGAGGAACACCAGCGGCGAAGGCGGCAUCCUGGACUGGUCCUGACACUCAGGAGCGAAAGCGUGGGGAGCGAUCCGG